rnacentral:lncRNA from 1 species
CUGAAGAAUAUAUUUGUUUAAAGUCUCUUUAAAACACUUGAAAAGGAAUAAUGACAAGAACAAGAGAUGAUGCUGUAGGUGAUAGUUUAUUUCUUUGACAGCAGACAUAUCAUGGCUUUAGGCAGAGUUAAGUCUAAUUCUUGUCCACCAUUGAUCAGCAUCCAAGAAUGACUGUGUCAAUCUUUAAAAACCCAGGCUGCUUGUUGCAAAAGCUCCAGGCAAAAGCUGACCUUUACCUUACCCUUUCCCAGGGAAAGGCAGGAUGUUUUUUCUUGAUUGUCUUUCAUCAUUGCCUUCUCACUAAUUUUGCGACACUUGUAUGUAAUAAUACCCUUUCUUGCCAUUAUGUUAUCUCUUGUUUAAAGUUUCUUUAUGAUUUAAAUUGUAGAGGAUGAGUCCAUGAGCUGGAGAAUAUGAAACACUAUUGUAUUUCUCCAAUUAGUGCAUUGCUCUCCUCUCAAUGCCUUUCUCCAGGCCCACACCGUCAAUACAUGCAAGGUUGUGAGGGGUAUGACAAUGCCAAGUCAAAAAGCCACUGGGCUCUACCGUUUUAAAAAACUCCAAACAGAAAAAAAAUAUUUCCC